rnacentral:rRNA from 1 species
GAUGAACGCUGGCGGCGUGCCUAAUACAUGCAAGUCGAGCGAACAGACGAGGAGCUUGCUCCUCUGACGUUAGCGGCGGACGGGUGAGUAACACGUGGAUAACCUACCUAUAAGACUGGGAUAACUUCGGGAAACCGGAGCUAAUACCGGAUAAUAUAUUGAACCGCAUGGUUCAAUAGUGAAAGACGGUUUUGCUGUCACUUAUAGAUGGAUCCGCGCCGCAUUAGCUAGUUGGUAAGGUAACGGCUUACCAAGGCAACGAUGCGUAGCCGACCUGAGAGGGUUAUCGGCCACACUGGAACUGGGACACGGUCCAGACUCCUACGGGAGGCAGCAGGAGGGAAUCUUCCGCAAUGGGCGAAAGCCUGACGGAGCAACGCCGCGUGAGUGAUGAAGGUCUUCGGAUCGUAAAACUCUGUUAUUAGGGAAGAACAAAUGUGUAAGUAACUAUGCACGUCUUGACGGUACCUAAUCAGAAAGCCACGGCUAACUACGUG